UACAGAGGUCUCAAGCGUUGUUCGGAUUCAUUGGGCGUAAAGGGUGCGUAGGCGGCGCGGUAAGUCGGGUGUGAAAUCUCGGAGCUUAACUCCGAAACUGCAUUCGAUACUGCCGUGCUUGAGGACUGGAGAGGAGACUGGAAUUUACGGUGUAGCGGUGAAAUGCGCAGAUAUUAGGAAGAACACCGGUGGCGAAGGCGGCUCUCUGGAACGGUACUGACGCUGAGACGCGAAAGCGUGGGGAGCGAACAGG
rnacentral:rRNA from 1 species